GUGAAGAAGGCCUUCGGGUUGUAAAGCUCUUUUGUCAGGGAAGAAACGGUGAGGGCUAAUAUCCUUUACUAAUGACGGUACCUGAAGAAUAAGCACCGGCUAACUACGUGCCAGCAGCCGCGGUAAUACGUAGGGUGCAAGCGUUAAUCGGAAUUACUGGGCGUAAAGCGUGCGCAGGCGGUUUUGUAAGUCUGACGUGAAAUCCCCGGGCUCAACCUGGGAAUUGCGUUGGAGACUGCAAGGCUAGAAUCUGGCAGAGGGGGGUAGAAUUCCACGUGUAGCAGUGAAAUGCGUAGAGAUGUGGAGGAACACCGAUGGCGAAGGCAGCCCCCUGGGUCAAGAUUGACGCUCAUGCACGAAAGCGUGGGGAGCAAACAGGAUUAGAUACCCUGGUAGUCCACGCCCUAAACGAUGUCUACUAGUU
rnacentral:rRNA from 1 species